CCUACGGGUGGGCUGCAGUGGGGAAUAUUGGACAAUGGGCGAAAGCCUGAUCCAGCCAUGCCGCGUGUGUGAAGAAGGCCUUCGGGUUGUAAAGCACUUUCAGUGGGGAAGAAAGCCUUGGGGCUAAUACCCUCGAGGAAGGACAUCACCCACAGAAGAAGCACCGGCUAACUCCGUGCCAGCAGCCGCGGUAAUACGGAGGGUGCGAGCGUUAAUCGGAAUUACUGGGCGUAAAGCGCGCGUAGGCGGUCUGAUAAGCCGGUUGUGAAAGCCCCGGGCUCAACCUGGGAACGGCAUCCGGAACUGUCAGGCUAGAGUGCAGGAGAGGAAGGUAGAAUUCCCGGUGUAGCGGUGAAAUGCGUAGAGAUCGGGAGGAAUACCAGUGGCGAAGGCGGCCUUCUGGACUGACACUGACGCUGAGGUGCGAAAGCGUGGGUAGCAAACAGGAUUAGAUACCCUAGUAGUC
rnacentral:rRNA from 1 species